AAAGUACAGAUUAUUACUGUGAAGAGAAGUUUAGACCUUCCUUACCGUGCUAAUGCACCCAUUGCCCUUUUUCCUCUGAAUCUCUACAGGAAGUAGAGUUUAAAAAAAUGUGUCCGAAGCCUUUGGAGACGUGACUCCAAAGAACCCACUCACUGCUGAGAAUCAUUAAGAUGGCAUUCAUGUGACUCAAGAUUUUCCAUGUGGGAUGAUUGCCUGUUUCAUCAAGUGAUGCCAUUAGAGGCUGAAUCUACCUGUGCAUUGCAUGGCCGUGAUUUCGCUACAACCAAGCUCUCCCUCAUGUGGGAAGAAAACACUACGGGGUUGAUGAGCCAGCUUUAUUCUAAAUGACUGAAGACUUCUGUUCUUUUCAACAAACACAGUCCUCCAAUUAGGAGCUGCAAAUAAGAUUAUAUGCCCUGAAUAAGUCUGAAAAGGUCCUUUUAUAAUUAGAAAGUUUGUGUGUGGGAAGUGGAAGCAGCAUUAAGUGUUCACUGUGGCUUUAUUAAGAAAGUGACAUGAAGAUUUCCCAAAUCCUCAUCUGAGUACUCUAAAAUGAUAAAAUAAAAAUCAUAGAAAACAGUACGUAUAUUCCAUUUCUUUUUUUUUUCCCC
rnacentral:lncRNA from 1 species